ACGUAAUAGAUACCCCGGUAGUCCACGCCUUAAACGAUGUCUACUAGUUGUUGGUGGAGUAAAAUCCAUGAGUAAACGCAGCUAAACGCGUGAAGUAGACCGCCUGGGGAGUACGGUCGCAAGAUUAAAACUCAAAUGAAUUGACGGGGGCCCGCACAAGCGGUGGAUUAUGUGGAUUAAAUUCGAUGCAACGCGAAAAACCUUACCUGGCCUUGACAUGUAACGAACUUUCCAGAGAUGGAUUGGUGCUCGAAAGAGAACGUUAACACAGGUGCUGCAUGGCUGUCGUCAGCUCGUGUCGUGAGAUGUUGGGUUAAGUCCCGCAACGAGCGCAACCCUUGCCAUUAAUUGCCAUCAUUUAGUUGGGCAC
rnacentral:rRNA from 1 species